UACGUAGGGUGCGAGCGUUGUCCGGAUUUAUUGGGCGUAAAGAGCUCGUAGGCGGUUUGUCGCGUCGGCCGUGAAAUCUCCACGCUUAACGUGGAGCGUGCGGUCGAUACGGGCAGACUUGAGUUCGGUAGGGGAGACUGGAAUUCCUGGUGUAGCGGUGAAAUGCGCAGAUAUCAGGAGGAAUACCGAUGGCGAAGGCAGGUCUCUGGGCUGACACUGACGCUCAUGCACGAAAGCGUGGGGGGCAAACAGG
rnacentral:rRNA from 1 species